GAUGAACGCUGGCGGCGUGCCUACAUGCAAGUCGAGCGAACAGACGAGGAGCUUGCUCCUCUGACGUUAGCGGCGGACGGGUGAGUAACACGUGGAUAACCUACCUAUAAGACUGGGAUAACUUCGGGAAACCGGAGCUAGUACCGGAUAAUAUAUUGAACCGCAUGGUUCAAUAGUGAAAGACGGUUUUGCUGUCACUUAUAGAUGGAUCCGCGCCGCAUUAGCUAGUUGGUAAGGUAACGGCUUACCAAGGCAACGAUGCGUAGCCGACCUGAGAGGGUGAUCGGCCACACUGGAACUGAGACACGGUCCAGACUCCUACGGGAGGCAGCAGUAGGGAAUCUUCCGCAAUGGGCGAAAGCCUGACGGAGCAACGCCGCGUGAGUGAUGAAGGUCUUCGGAUCGUAAAACUCUGUUAUUAGGGAAGAACAAAUGUGUAAGUAACUAUGCACGUCUUGACGGUACCUAAUCAGAAAGCCACGGCUAACUACGUG
rnacentral:rRNA from 1 species